rnacentral:lncRNA from 1 species
UACACACACACCCCCCAUACACCCCCCCCNNNNNNNNNNCGGGGCACCCCGGGGGAGAGUUGUGUGCGAGGCACAUGUGUGCCGGGCUGCAGGCACCGCACGCACGCACGCACGCACAGACACACACACACACACACACACACACACACACACACACACACACACACACACACACACACACACACACACACACACACACACACACACACAUCUCCGUGUACGCUCACACGCACAAACGCGCCCAAAGAGGCGGCAAAGACGGAGCAGGCGGCGGGGGGAGGGGGAAGGAUUAAAAAAAAAUGGGUCAGGAGCGGGGCAGUUACCUGGUCAUGCUGGCUCCCCCGGUCCCAGCAGCAGCCGCCGCCGCCUGCCCGCCCGCCAGCGCUUCCCGCCGCCGCCGCCACCUCCUCCCCGCUGCUCCCGCUUGUCUCCGGGGCGGCCAAUUUAAUCCAAGCCCCGCAGCAGCAGCAGCAGCAGCAGCAGCAGCAGCAGCUACGAGCGGAGCCGCCCGCCGCUACUGCCUGGCGCUGGUCCCUAAUUUUCUUCCUGAAGAACGGUCGGAUUUCAUGCCGAGUGACACCACAUGUUGCUGGGCGCAAUAGGUGGCACGCCAUGGGGCUAAAAAAAGGUCCCUGCUCUUCUUGACACACCCUGCCUCACCCUCUGCAGAGAAGGAGCAGCUCAUAGGGCAUAGGUGGAAACAAUAGGGUUUAGGUGAAAAGUUGGGAAAUCUCACUGCUGGCUUCUAACCGUCUUCAGAAACCUGGAGCGUGUUCCCUCUGUACCUCAGGCCCUCCUGUGUAAAAUGGGAACGAAGGGUUAGGAUCAACACGCUGAAGGCCAGUCAGCCGUUAUGGUGACUGGAGCCCAGCAAGAUCGAUGGCCACAAAAGUUGACUUUCUAGUUUCCCCACGUAUGAGGCUGCAGAUGCAGCAAUGGUCAGACCAGUGCUCCUUGUCUUUGGAGUUUUAGUGCUGACCUGCUGCAAGCUCAUCAAGCUGCUGAUCCUGAAAUCAGUCAUGGUGGCCCAUGCAAAGUCUGUUGCAGAUGUCUGCUACUUUUCUGCAGAGGAGAGGGAUUUGGGUGUUUUCUAUCAUUUAAUCAUAUUUAUCAUACCAGGUACGGUGGUGCUACGAGCAUGAAGGAUGACAGAAAAUAAACUUUGUACUCCCCAAGUCCCA